rnacentral:rRNA from 1 species
AUUGAACGCUGGCGGCAUGCCUUACACAUGCAAGUCGAACGGCAGCACGGGAGCAAUCCUGGUGGCGAGUGGCGAACGGGUGAGUAAAGUAUCGGAACGUGCCCAGUCGUGGGGGAUAACGUAGCGAAAGUUACGCUAAUACCGCAUACGAUCUAUGGAUGAAAGCGGGGGAUCGCAAGACCUCGCGCGAUUGGAGCGGCCGAUAUCAGAUUAGGUAGUUGGUGGGGUAAAGGCUCACCAAGCCGACGAUCUGUAGCUGGUCUGAGAGGACGACCAGCCACACUGGGACUGAGACACGGCCCAGACUCCUACGGGAGGCAGCAGUGGGGAAUUUUAGACAAUGGGCGCAAGCCUGAUCCAGCCAUGCCGCGUGCAGGAUGAAGGCCUUCGGGUUGUAAACUGCUUUUGUACAGAACGAAAAGGUUUGACUUAAUACGUUGGACUCAUGACGGUACCGUAAGAAUAAGCACCGGCUAACUACGUGCCAGCAGCCGCGGUAA